CUUAGAAGGGCAGCGUGAGGGAGCCCUUGGCUUUGGGGUCAGGGUGGUGCCAGAAGAUAGAAAAGGAUCCGUUGGGAAGGAGGAGCAGAACGUUGUACUGCGCUGGAGAGGCUGCGUUCACCUGGUGGAUCUUGCUUCUGGGCUUUGUGGUUUUGGAUCCGUUCUUUAUGUAACACAGCUUCCUGCCUUUAAGAAACUAUAAUGAUUAUUUUGCCUCUCCCUGGUGGUUGUGCCGUGAGAUGAGCCAGUCCGAGAGAGCAGAGGGGACGCUUCCUUGAGGGCAGCAGUAAGCUGUGAGGCGUUGGACUGCUGCUGUCUGCAGCCCUUCCUCCAGAGGCACUGCAGACCUGCUCCUGGGCAGGACCAGGUAUUCUCAUGUGACAGCGGUCAGCGCUGAGCUCGUGUGAGGGACACACGGUCACCUGAUGGCCCGCGGCACUCGGCUGCUGUGGUUCUGCACAGUGCUGUGUCUGCGUGCUGCCUGCUCAGCCUGUCACAGUCUGCAGCAGCAGAUGAGGAACCUUUCCAUGAGAGGCCAAUAGAUAAAUCAUGGAGCUUUAACUUUUUUCCCUGUAUUCUUGGGGCACAGCCUGAAGGUCGUGUGUGUGUCUGUGAAGUUGGGUCUAUUUUAGCAGGAAGCAGGUUGGGCUGGGUGACCUCUGGAAUUAACUUUGAGUGGGAUUUAUUUCACAACUAUAUUUUGUAUUGAAAUAUUGGGGAUUAUGGGUUGGCAGAGGAUGAGACUGAUAAUGCAGCAUGCUGUGGAAGGGCUCCUGUGCAAAACAAAACAUACUUAAAGCUGUCAUACCAGUCAGUGCUCACUAGACUUUUUUCCCUAAUGAGGAGUCUAAAUAUUUACACUGUCAAGAUUAGUUUGCUUGUUCUCUAUACUGAUACAGUUUUCAUUUGGCUUUAUUGUGUGUUCUUUGUGUUGAGCAAUUAAAGUUGAGGUAGCCAAGAAGGUUGCUGUAGUUCUCUUCCAGCUUGUGGAAGAAAGGAGCUGCACUAAGAUGCUUAGCCUACAACUAAUGUUUGGGUGAAAAUCUCUGGUGGAAAGAAACCAAAACUAAAAACCCAUCCCCUUCGCUUAAAAUAGGGCGCUUAGCGAUGUAUAAGGAGUGGAGCAAAGUGAAGUUAAACUUGCAUGUUUGUUCUCUGGACAGGCGAAGUAAUGGAUUUCAGCUGCCAGCACUACAUCUGGUGGGGGAUGUGUCCCUUCCCUGCUGCAGCAGCCGUCCUGGCUUUUGGUGUGCUAACCUGUGUUAUUGUGGUUGAAAUGGGUCAGGGAGCUCUCAUGCGAUGCCUGCUUCCCCAUGGCAGGGGGAUGGGAGCAUUCCCCUUCAGGGAGGUGGAGUGGGAUGAUAUGGUUGUGGGGCAGCAGGCAGACUGGCACAGCUGCCUGCAUGUGCUCUUUUGUCACACAGCUGUGGCAUGGAGCUCAGCGGGCAACAUCAGGGGAAGUGAAACAGUUCCUAAGUCCAAAUAAACCCUUAGGUAAAUGAGUAAGCUUGUUGCAGUUUUCACUUGUGCCUGCAUAUUGUUGGUGUAAGAUAUGAUGCCACAUAAUAGAAUUUUAUCAGUUUGAAAAAUGAUGUGUAAAAUUAUGAAGGUGCAGUUAAUCAAAUCCUUAUCUUGUUCAUAGCCUUACCCUUCACACAUCAGCAUUUGGUUCCAGAGCGUGCACUGAGUGCUACCAACCACAGUCUCAAAGCACCAAAGGAUUUCUCUUUGAAAAACUACUCUCCACUUCCAAAUCAUGCAGAUUGUGAGGAUGGAGUGAGUCCAAUGUAUUUGAUGAGGUGGCAGUACAGACUUUGAAAAGAAGUGUGCUUCUUUCUGAAAAUCAUUGUCUAAUGUAUCUGUAUCAGUGCAGGGUAACUUAAAUUAGUUGUAACGGUUUGGUCAGGCCUUCCCUGAAAGCCUGUUAAAUUUCACCUGAAUUAAUUUUGUUCAGCUUGAUAGCAAGACAGACUGGGAUAAGUCAAAUACUUCAUUGCCUUUGUAGGAAGCUGAACCAGCAACUUGAAGAAUACGAAAAAAAUGAAAGAAAACCUAACAUGAAAUGAAACACAAAGAAAAACCUGAAGCCAAUUCCUCUUGUAUUAUCAUAUUAGCUUUAAUUAGUGGUUAUUUAGUUCCAGGCAAGGUAAGGUUGCUUGGGAGUAAAUUUGUAGUGUGAAAACUCUUAUUUAUUGUGGUAAUUUGUUUGUUCCAAAAUAUUAGUAGGACAAUGCAAGUGUCAAUGUGAGUAAAGCUUUUAGUCCUGACAACUUAAUCUGAAUGUCCUUUCCAGAGUGCCUCACAUACAUGCUAACAGGAACCUAAAGGUCUGCUAACAGAACCAAAUCCUGUGAUACUGCAAAGCUGAUACAGGGGAAAAAAAAAAAAAAAAGCUGAAUGUGCUUACAAAUAUCCUUAUAUCCUCUGAAAUAAGAGGAUUGAUGUUAUAUUUAUUAUGCAAGCUGCUGCAACAAUAUGGGCUUUUUCCAAAAGAGUUGUCUUCAGCUUUCUUUGAGUCAUACUUAGUAGCUGUUUGCUGCAGGGUGAGUAAAUUCAGUUCAGCUUACCUCACUGUUACACAGCUGCAAGGUUGAGUGCAGAAGGGAGAAAAGACCCUCAGCUGCAAUGUGGCUGUCCCACUUGAUGAGAUGCUGCAGCCAUGUUGUUUGCAAUGGGUGUAGUGCCUGCCUGUGCUUGGAAAGCAGGGUUUGCGCUUGCUAGGUGUUAGUACAGUGUGCCAGGUAGAGGAACUGACCUGGCUGAAAGUAACCCAGAAUAGAGGAGAAAAGGAGUGGAGGCAGAAGUACUUAGCCAGGUGAACUUCCUGAUCUGGUUUGUUUAAUAGCUUCAGCUCUGGUGUAGGGAACCAUAUUGUUCUUGUUUUACUUCUUGCAACAGCACAGUUUUGCCAGCCUCAAGCAGAAGACAUGCAGGACAGUUUGGCCUGGUUAACAGGAGUCUCUCCUUACCUGGCUCUGGCCAGUAGUCAGUGCCUGUGUGACCUGGUUCAUUUUGCAGACAAUCCCCUGUGCCUCUCCUCCUCUACGCUGCUCCAAGGCCUCGUGGGGCUGCUGAGCUGAACCAAACACACAGUAGGAGCUCCACAACAGGGUAGGUGUGAGACCAUCCCCUUUGGUGGCCCAAACUGAGAAUGACUGCUGUCUUCUCACGUUUGCACGGUUGUUGCUUCACCAUUCCUUCCACUGUAACACUUUGCUUCCAUGAAAAAUUAAACAUGGCAAUUUUAAAGCUUUGAGAGCAAUGAUUUUAAAUGAAUUACACAGGCUUGGCUGCCAGUGCAUCUUUUACUUUAUUGCAGUGUGCCUUGUAAUUAUUCCUUUGUGCUUUGUGAGUGCCUCAUCUUCCCUUGCCUGCAGGUUUAGCUGCUCGUUUCCUGUGGUUAUUGGUCUCUUACAUGCGUAUGUUCUAAAUCUUGAUGCCAUGCAGAUUCAAUAAAUGCUCUCUGACUGGGUGUCAUGAGUCACAUAAAUACUCCUUAGCUCGGGGAUAAAGAGGCUGCUACUCCUUUGAGUCUGUAACUGUUCUACCAUCUUGAGUGUUAUGGCUUCUAGAAAGAUAAUCUAAGAAUAGCUCAUUUAGUUUCUGUGUUCAUUGAGCUUCCUACAUAGAAAACAAUGAGCAGAGCAGUGUCGCAUGCCUCACAGAUGUGUUGGAUUCCUUGGCUUAAUUGAUGAUUUGUAAAGCAUUGCAGAAUGCUGUUCCAAAGUGUAAAGGAAUCUGUUUAAAACAAGUAACCAAACCUCCUGACUUCUACAGUUAAUCAUAGAGGGAUUUCUGAGUGCUUUGCAUUCUGCGUGUGGGUUUUUGUGAAACAAGUUCAGCAUUGGUUACUCCAAAUUCUUAAUCAUCAUAUGAUGACUUUGGGAAUGGAAGUGAGGAUUAGUUUUCAUUUUAAGGUACGGACCAGCUGUAAGCCCCAGAUAUGAUGACAUGAACUGAAAUAGCACAUCCUUGGUUCAUUUACUGAGAUUUGUUGAAAUCUCUUAUUGCUGAAGUAAUAUGACUAUGGAAGGAGAUUAAGUUCAUUUCUUCUAAGAGGGAAUUAUUUUCUAGCCAGCUUUUCAUUAUACUAACCUUUCAUGUCGCGUUGCUGCUCUUCUAUUUCUUCAUGUAAGACCAGAAAGUAAAGUUCACAAUAACUUCUGUGGUCACAACCAGUUAACAUGCCAGUAUCUCAAAAGCAACCACAGUGGUGGUCUCUGUUAACUUAAAUGUGCAUCUAAUCUUCUGCAGGCAUACCUUUCUCAGGUGGGUUUGAUCUAGAAGAAAGCUGUAUUAACACACAUUCCAUAUGUGCAUGGAGCCAUUCCUGGAAUCAUAUGCAUUAUAUAUGUAAAUGUUUAUAUAUUAUGUGCAUAAAUAGCACAUAAAUAUAGAAUCAAACUAGACAAUGCCAAGAGAAUAUGUUAAAUUAUUCAAGUUCUACAAGCAUUGUUUUUGCAGUAGUGAAACUUAUUUUGGGUCAGGUUUGACUUUUUUUUAAAGUAACCUGCAGAUCUCCAGGGCACAGGGACUAUAAACAUACUGUGUCUUCAUACUGAUGCAGUCUUUGUUCAUCUAAAGGGUGUUAAAUUAGAAUUGAGAUGUUAUAGAGUAAAGCAAUUAUACCAGCAGUGCAAUGUAAUAUAGAGAAACAAGCGAUGUUACCAUUAAUAUCAUGGAAAGUCCAAACAUCAGACAUUUUCUGCAAUUGCUUUUGAAGUUCUUAGUCUACAACACACAAUAUUUUGGCAUACUAUUAGUAGGAAACUUCCUACUGAGAUGAUUAAGGUCGUGUAACUUCUGUCCCUGGAUAAGGGUAUGGGUUACUCCUUGCUGUCUCCCUGGGUAUGGCUGUACCAGCAGAGGAAUUAGAGGCUCUCUCAUCUGCUGGCAGUUCUCAGGGGAGUGUUUCUUAACCCACUUCUGUGGAAGUAAGCCAAAAGCAAACCACUGAAAUUAUUAUUUCCUAAGUUAGUUUGAAUAAAGUUUUGGGAAAGCUCUGGCACAUUCAAGCAGAAGAAGAAGGAGAGAAGAAUGGUGGUUGAAAUUUAGGCAAGCUCAUGAAAAUCUUCAUCUGACACUGUGGAAUGAUUAUCUGAAGGAUCAUAAACUAAUAUAUGUAUAUUUUUUAGUAUUUACUCACAUAAAGAAAUUAAAGUUGCAUUUCAUUUAUGAGCCUCAGAGGUCUGAUGCCUGUCUGCUGUUAAAAUGUCUGCUUUUAGAUGAUGCUUCUAAUAAUCGGGGCUGAGGGACUGAGGUUUUAGAACAAAACUGAUGGAUAUAUGAUUUGACCUCCCCAUGGGAUGGUUUCUCUUUCAUAGGUUUUUUUUUUGGGGGGGGGGGAAGUUUUCUUUUUUUAUUUAAUUAUAUGGCAAAUAAUAUUGUCAAGCACUGCAGAAAUAGUUUAGAAAGCAAAUGCAAAGGUGAUACAAAUGUAAAGUAGAUCUAAUCACUGCAAAUACAGAUGCUAAUAGUUGUCUAUCUCUGUACCUACAUUAAUGGAAAAACAGCCUUCUGUGUGUUUGGUUAUGUAUAAAGAAAAUGUGUGUGUUUGUUUUUUUUCUGGCCUUGGAAAUUUACUACUAAUGAGAAACUAUGCAAACAGAUCAUCACCCACUGGGAGCAUUAAGGUACAAAGAGAAAGCAUUGAGCAGUUGGAGUGAGGCAGUGAUCUAAUCGUGUUGACAGUCUGAAUGUCAGUUUUCCUUAGGCAACGUGUCUCCUUUAAGAAAAACUAAAGGAAUGUUUCAUGGAGGUUUUACAAAGAGUGUUUCUGAUCUUAACUGUAGACCUGCAGAAAGCUAUGAAUGGGAACCAUUUGGGAGCUUAAGCGAUAACAGUGGUGUCAUUGACUAAAUGGUUAUGGGGCAGAGCUUUUCUGAUCACUUUUUAGACCUAGAGGGCUCUGAAGAGUGAGGGCAAGAAUUGUAAGUCUGAUGUAAAGAAGCAAGAAUUAUCGUAAAAUCAUAGUGUAUCCUGAGUUGGAAGGUGCCCACAAGGAUCGAGUCCAGCCCUGGCUCUGCACCACAUCACCCGGAAUUCAAACUCUGUGUCUGAGAGAGCUGUCCUAACUCUUGUUGAACAACAGCUUGUGGCUGUGCCCACUGAACAGGGGAGCCUGUUCUGUGCCCUGUGGUCAAGGACCUUGCCUGACCCUCCCCUCAUGCAGCUCCAUGCUGAGCAGGGCAGCUCCUCCCCUCGCCCAGUGUGCAGUGCUGGGCCUGGUGCCCCUAGGGUAUGGUUGGGCUUUUAGCCUUGGCAGCCAAAAUUAGGCUGUAAUUAGAAGUCACGCUGAUUACAAAGGAAGGAUGUUUUCAAGUGCGUGAGGUUAUGCACUGAUAUGAAUCUUAGCUUAACUUCUGUCACAUCAGGUAAACAAGGGAAGAACCCAAUUUUCAUUAGCCUGUAUUUUAGGAUGUAGUUGAGUAUGACAUUUGCAAAUGUCAGAGACAGCAAGUCGCACCAUUUUUUCUUGAAGUCUAUGGAAAUUCCUUGUCCUCAGGCCAAAAUUAAGAUUCUGCUCUUUACUUCAAGGGCUGUGCUUCCUAAGCAAGGGCAUCAGCACAACUCCUGAAAAAAUCAGUGUUCCUAGCUGUAUCCCAGCUGUAAUACAGAGAUGGCCAGUGUACAGCUGAGUAGUUGUUGAGUGUUAUUGGUGGUUGUGUGGUGUUUUAAUACAAACAGUAAAGACAAACUUGAGGAAAAAUGUGCUGCUGCUUGGUUAUUGAGCAGCGAAUUCAGAAGAUGCUCAUCCACACGUGCACUUGUGAGGAGAGGGAGGGUUAAUUCAGUGAGGCACUCCAAGCUAUACUGUCUCUGCUUAUGAGUACUAAGUGUUUUAGACUGGUUGCUUUCUUCUAAGUUGAAUUGAUGCUUUGUUGGAAACAGCUGCAGUGAGACUGAGAUGAUGGUUACUCAGGAGGUUGCAGGUUGUUCUUGUGUGCGGCAGGUACUCUACCUGCUGAUGUAAAGCCAGAAUAAGGUUGUAUCCUCAUCAUCAGCCUAACUUCAUAGGUCAGGCCUGAUGGACAUCAGUCUUAAGAAGUGACCAUCUUUAAAAAAUAAGAUCUCCAGAAGGAGAUACUAACAUUUAUCAAUUUUAAAUGGUCUUGGCUUUGUUUAGGGGCUUGUUUCAUCAAGAAAGUUCAAAAAUAAUGCAGGCAUUAAAAUUGGAGAGGACUUCUGAGAUCACCGAGUUGCACAGUCAGCCCAUCCUUACCAUGCCCACUGACCAUGUCCCUCAGUGCCACAUCGUGGUUCUUGAAUACCUCCAGGGAUGAUGACUUCACCUCCUCCCUGGGCAGCCUGUGACAGUGCCCAGCUACUGUUUCAGAGAAGAAACUUGCUAAUAUCCAACCUUUAUCUCCCUUGGCAAACCUGAGGCAGUUGCCUUGUAUCCCAUCACUAGUUGACUGGGAGAUGAGGCUGAUCCUCACCUCACUCACUGCAACUCCUUUCAGGUCACUGUAGAGGGUAAUUAACUCUACCCUACACUUCUCCAGACUGAGCCAUCCCACUUCCCUCAGCUGCUUCCCAUCAGGCCUGUGCUCCAGACCUUUCACAGCUUUGCUGCCCUUCUUUGGACGCAUUCUGGUGCCUCAGUGUCCUUGUAAUGAGGGGCCCAAAACUGAACACAGCACUCAAGGUGCAGCCUCUCCAGCACAGAGUACAGAGAUACAAUCAGCUGAUUGUAUUUCUGAUACAAACUGGGAUGCCAUUGGCCUUGGCCACCUGGGCACCCUGCUGGCUUAUGUUCAGCCAGCUGUUGACCAGCACCCCCAGAUUCUUUCCAGCUGCACAGCUUUCCAGCCACUCUAUUUGAUGCCUGUAGCAUUGAGUUUUUCCUUCCUGCUUUUUUUUCUCUGAUUUUGAAUUCCUACAAAAAUAAUACGAUAAGGCAGGGAAUCUCUUUCAGAGAACCUCUGAGUAAAAUGGUACAGUUAUGCUCCUAGCAUCCAGAAUGAAAGAAGCCUAUGGCCAAUUCUGGAUUUGAGAGUGCUGAGUGCUUUCAAUAUUUUAUUAGCUCUGUUUGAAUAAUGUAAAAAUGGCUAUGUGCACAACAUUUUAUUUCUGUCACAAAAAGGACAGACAGUGUUGCACAGGUGCAGAAUUUUGCUGGUACAAAUCCUUGUCUUGCUGUUGGUGUUUGGCAGCUUGACUGAAAACACAAAAUCUGUGCUUCAUGUUUGCUGUUCAGAUAGAGAGAUACACAACAAAUCAUUAUCUUUGUUCAUCAGAUGCUUCAUAUUCUUGGAACUCAGUAAACGAAAGGAAGUUGGUAUGAACUCCCAUCACCCUUCCAAAAAGUUCUUCAGCAAAGACAUUUUUUUCAGAAUACAGAUAACCCCUUCAAGCUUCAAACACAGACUGUAACUCUCACAAGUACAUAUCAACCUGAAUAUACAUACCUCGAUAAUAAAACUUCUUUAUCAGAGUAUGUGGAUGUGGUCAUUUAACACCAGUAGGUAGGUAAGCGCCAUCAUUCUGCUCUCACACUCCUCUUCCUCAGAAGGACGGGGAGAAAAUGUGAAACAAUGUCAUGUGUUAAGGUAAGGACAAGGACAUCAGUCACUAGUUACUGUCACUAGCAAAACAGACUAGAAGAGUGAGAACUGAAAGCCAACUGAAAACACCACCUCCCCUACCUCUGGUACUUCCCCACCCUGUCAGUGGCACAGGGGAGCUGGGAAUGGGGCUGCAGUCAGUCUGUAAUGCUUUGUCUCUGCUGCUCCUCCAUGGUUUCUCUCUGCCCCUCCUCCACAUGGGGUUCCUCCAUCCUUCCCAAACUGAUCCUGUGUGGCCUUCCUGCAGGCUGCAGCUGUCCAAGCACUGCCCCGGCACAGCUCUGUACCACAGGGCCCACCCUUUAGGUACUGCCCCACAUGGGUCCCCAUCAGCAGCAGCUCCCCCAGCCCUCCUGCCCCAACACAGGCUUCUGCCCGUGGGCUACAGCUUCAUCCAGGGGCUGCUUCUGCUGGGGCUCCUCCGGGCCUCAUCCACUGCUGCACCGUGGGCUCCUCCAUGGCUGCAUGUGGAGGUCUGCUCUGUGUGGAACCUGCGGGCUGCAAGAGGAUGCCCGGCUCCUCCAUGGGCCUCUCCUGUGCUGCAGGGAGCUUCUACUCCUUGCCUGGAGCACAUUCUGCCCUCCUCCUGCGCUGACCUUGAUGGCUGCAGGGCUGCUUCUCUCGCAUUUUCUCACUCCUCUCUCCCAGCUGCUGUGAUGCAGCAGUUUUUUCCUUCCUUGGCUCUGCGUAGCUCUUGGCUCAGCUCUGGCGUCUAUGGGACCCUUUUGGAGCAUCUGGAGUUGGCUCUGAUCUGACAUGGAGCAGCUGCUGGGCUCUGCUUACAGAGCCCAUCCCUGCUACAGCAGAGAGAGAUGCUUGUAAGCCCAUGGAGCACAUUAGCCAUGAAAGCACAGUUCUUGCACAGUGUCACAGCUUCCCUGGACUUCUGCUGAGCCUUGGAAUCAUCAGAAAACUCAGUAUAAACAGUGAUCUGACCAUUCAGUUUGAGCAAAUCGGUUAUGGCUUUGGGGUCUGAUAAACUUUCCUGUUAACAUUCAGAUCCAUUUUUCUCUCCGGGAGAGAAUGUUUCAGGAGAGAUUCAGCUGUAUUUCUCAAGCCAAAUGUUAGCAGGCGAACAGUACUUAAGCUGUGCUACAAAAGUGCAUAAUAUACUAAUGUGUACUAGAAAGGGCCUGGGGAAUGUAGCAAAUGACCUCAAAUUCUUUGCCAAGUGAAGGAUUUUCUAUUUGUCCUUGAUGAUAUCAUGUAUAUAAAUUUAAAUAAUUUCUGCACUUUGGAUUUUUUGUCCUUGUGAAAUUCCAGACUCAAGUUUAUGGAAGAACUCCAGUGUUUGGCUUGUUUGGGAGUCUGCCCUGGAAUUGCUUCAGCAAACUUUCUGGAAGUAAAUGAAGGAGGCAAUCAUUGAAAAGUAAGAAGUGAGGUUCAUCCAUAAGAUUCCAAAGUAAGUGUGUCUAAACUCCAAGGCUCACCUAACAACAGUUUAUAGAACUGUGGGAAUGCAUGGGAGACUUCAGAUGGCCUAAGUGGACAUAAAUUGUGUGGCUGUGGAAAGGGGUCAUCCUACAGUUCCACGCCACCACUGGUGCAGCAGUAGCAUUUUUAUGGAAAUUCUGGUGAUUAACAGUCAUGGCAACCAUAGAGGAACUGGCCCAUCAAAUUAUUGAGCAGCAAAUGGGAGAGAUCACCCAUUCCCAAGGAGCUGUUGCACAAACACUAAUGGAUGGGGCAGCACAACGAAUACAGAUCGUCCCUUCAGAUUCAGGCCUCUCUUUACCACAGCGUAUACAGAUUGUCACAGAUCAGCAGACGGGCCAGAAGAUUCAGAUUGUUACAGCACUUGAUCAGAACUCAGCAGGCAAGCAGUUCAUCCUAACAAAUCAUGAUGGCUCUACCCCAAGCAAGGUGAUCCUUGCCAGACAAGAUUCCACUCCAGGAAAAGUUAUCCUAGCAACUCCAGAUGCUGCAGGUGUCAACCAACUGUUUUUUGCAUCCCCUGAUAUAUCUGCACAACACAUCCAGAUUUUAACAGACAACUCUCCCAAUGAGCAGGCCCUAAAUAAAGUGUUUGAUCUGUGUGUUGUGUGUGGAGACAAGGCAUCAGGACGUCACUACGGAGCAGUAACUUGUGAGGGUUGCAAAGGAUUCUUUAAAAGGAGCAUUCGGAAGAAUUUGGUGUAUUCGUGCCGAGGAACAAAGGACUGUGUCAUUAACAAACACCACCGGAAUCGCUGCCAGUACUGCCGGCUGCAGCGAUGCAUCGCCUUCGGGAUGAAACAAGACUCUGUGCAGUGUGAGAGGAAACCUAUCGAAGUGUCAAGAGAAAAGUCUUCAAACUGUGCAGCUUCUACAGAAAAGAUCUACAUUCGGAAAGAUCUUCGCAGCCCAUUGGCUGCAACUCCAACUUUUGUAACAGACAAUGAAACAGCAAGGUCAACAGGUCUGUUGGAAUCAGGAAUGUUCGUUAACAUUCAGUCUGGCAUUAAAAGCGAGCCUACAGUGCUGAUGACUCCAGAUAAGGUUGAAGCCUGUCAGGGAGACUUAAGUACCCUGGCAAAUGUGGUGACAUCUUUAGCAAACCUCAGUAAAUCCAAAGAUCUGUCACAAAGCAGUACAGAGCUGUCUAUGAUUGAGAGUUUAAGUAAUGGAGAUGGAUCGUUACCUGAACUUCAGCAAGAAGAACAAGGAAGUAGUGAUGUUACAAGGGCAUUUGAUACUCUUGCAAAAGCAUUAAAUCCUGGAGAGAGUGCAGCGUGCCAGAACUCUGAAAGUGUUGAGGCCAACGUGCAGCUUGGAGGUGGAGAAACAAGCAUGAAUAUCGUUGAAAUAGAGGGGCCGCUACUCAGUGAUGCACACGUAGCAUUCAGGCUCACCAUGCCUUCUCCUAUGCCCGAAUAUCUUAACGUUCACUAUAUCUGUGAGACUGCCUCCAGGUUGCUUUUCCUGUCUAUGCACUGGGCACGUUCCAUUCCAUCUUUCCAAGCUUUAGGACAGGAUAACAGCAUAUCAUUAGUAAAAGCCUGCUGGAACGAACUGUUUACGCUUGGUCUUGCACAGUGCUCUCAAGUCAUGAAUGUGGCGACUAUAUUGGCUGCGUUUGUUAAUCACCUUCACGACAGCUUACAGCAAGACAAGCUGCCAACAGACAGAGGAAAACUAGUAAUGGAGCACAUCUUCAAACUGCAAGAGUUCUGUAACAGUAUGGUGAAGCUUUGCCUAGAUGGAUAUGAAUAUGCAUAUUUGAAAGCAAUUGUACUCUUCAGUCCUGAUCACCCAGGGCUGGAAAAUGUGGUACAGAUUGAGAAAUUUCAAGAAAAGGCAUACAUGGAGUUCCAAGACUAUGUAACAAAAGCAUAUCCAGAUGAUACUUACAGACUGUCUCGACUUCUUCUCCGAUUGCCUGCCCUGAGGCUGAUGAGCGCUGCCAUUACUGAAGAGCUGUUCUUUGCAGGACUAAUAGGAAACGUUCAGAUUGAUAGCAUCAUCCCGUACAUCCUGCGAAUGGAGACGGCAGACUACAACACUCAAAUAAUCGGUCAUGCCGUAUAAAAGUAGCAAUCAAGGAUUCUGUGCCAUGGCAGUCAUGGUGAUGUAAAUGCGUACUCUGUCUCCAAGAGAUGGCAAUAGGCCUUCCCACGCACCUUUCUAAAGAAGACUCGUGUUCCUCCUUUCCAGUACGCUUGGGAAAUGCGGUGGAGUGUCUUAAGGAAUAUAGGAUCGCUUCCUAUUUUUCGUCUGAUCUUCAAGGACUUGUAAAUUAACUUGAUAUCUGAGGAAAGUCAAGAAUUGUUCAUCCUAUUUUUGUAGAUAGAUGAACUUGGAAUAUUUGUUUAUGAAUUGCAGGCUUGUGAAGAAACGGAAGAAGCUUUGACUGAACUAAGGAUUGCUCAUACACGGAUCCAGAGAUGGAAAUGCUUGGUGCUGAGGACCUCUGAUGGGAUGGAACCAUUCUCCCCUGCUCUGAAUUUGGCAUGUAGCGACUUUCUGGAGAGCAGCCUUUAAAGAUGCUGGAGAUUCCCACGUGACUGAGCCCUUCCCACAGUCCAUGUGUCGAAAGGAGAAGGAUUGAGGCUCUGUAUUCGUGUUCCCUGGAGUUCAUGAAGUGUGAGGACUUUUUUUCUGUCUCAAGAGGGCAGUAGUGAUGGAAAUGUGAAAGACAACGGCUGCGAAUAUGCUGUGCUUGUCUCCUCCCAGUGGUUAUUGGCCCCGCCAUCGUGCCGUCUGUAGGACCAAAUUGUGGAUGGGAAGUGAAUUGUUAUAUUCGUGUUUCCUCAGAAAGUUGGACCCUGUCUUCCAGCCCUUCUCUGUUGCUAGCAGGAACAGUUAUAGUUGUUUUAAACCUUUCAAGGAAGUUGCCAGGAGGUUACUCCUGAAUAAUUUGUAAAUGGUUUACCAGGCAUUCCAAAUAUUGGAAGAAUUUGAUUCCCAAUAUUCUCCAAAUUCAGAUAACCCAUUUUCCUUCUAAAUGCAGUAGAGACUGCAAAUCUCUCCCGCAUCAUUGCAGAUUUAUAUUUUUUUAGCCUUUGGGACCUGUGCCUCAGGCAUGACAAGCAGUUCUUUGUUUGCAGCUUACCAGAAGAUUCAGCAAACGUGGUUUUUGCAUGGUAUUGUUUCUCCGAAACAGCUGAGAAAAUACCAGUGUUUGUAGAGAGGUACAUCUUUAGGGAUUGAAUCCUUCAGCAUAUCUGUCUUUGAGAGCCGUGUUUUGAAGGAUGUGGCUAUAGAAAUUUGCUCUGAAAUUCUGCUUGUUCCCCUUUCACGCCGUAGUCUGAAUACAAGUUGGCCUACUGCAGGGAAGUGUGAACUGCUGUCACUGCUGACUGCUGGAUCAGGACAUCUUUGUUAGGCUGUGUUAACUCAGAAGCACAAGAACCACGGUGACAUUCUUUUUGGAUGCCUGUCACCUCUGCAUGGCAGCAGAAGUUUCAAAUCUCAGUGGCUGACAUUUCCCCUUCCCACAUCUCUUUCUGUUACUCUCCUGGCAAAAUCUUUUGAUCUUCAUCUGAGAUUUUUGCCAGAUCACUUAAAUCAAGAAUUCAAUCCAUCCAUGUUUUUCUUUUUAAAUCCAGUGUUUCCAGAUGUGAGACUACGCAUUCUGUGUUGGGUAGCAAGAGACAUGUGUCACACCCUUUCACGUGACAAAAACUUGCAGAUAUCAUAGAAUCUAGUUUUCUCAGGUGAGAAGUCAAACAGGACGCUCCAAGCUCAGUUACAGACUCAAUUCCCUCUUUUGAUAGCAGUAUAGUUGAGUCACCAUCAUUAAUGAGGAUGUACUCUAGUAGUUCCCAGGCUGCGUUUGGGCUUUGCUCAAUAUCUGUAUAGUAUUGUUACAAAAGGGAAAGCUAGUUCAAGAGAUCUUCACAUUGCCAAGAAGUGGCAUACAGUUUUUAUGUAUUGUGUGGCUAUGCACAUACUCAUCCAAAAAGAAAAGGUAUUUAUCUCAAAAAGAUUCCAGUUACUUCUGCUGUCCAUCUGUGCGAUAACCACAUGCCCUCCCUUCCCCUUGCUGUUGGUGGCUAACCAAAUGUAAGCUCCAUACUGACUGUCAGGUGAAACAAAAGAGGGAGACAGAUGCAUGUACACCUGAGGUAUUGUAAGGGCCUCCCCAAAAAACUAUAAUCUUGGAUACCUCCAAUGUUUGGACUUCUAUAGAGUGAAUGUGCAGAUAUGCAACACACUGCAAAAAGUGCUGCCUACUGGUAAGUAACCUUUUUCCCAAUGUUUGUUGCAUUUUUUCUUCAUAAAUGUUCAGUGUAAGUUCAGUACCAGGUUAAAGGCGUGCUGAUCUGUGCUGCUUGGCAAGUAUUCUCUCCUGUCUUGAUGACCAAGAAGGUGGAUCCCAUAGUGCAGGUGGCUGCGUUUGUAUUACUCACUUUUCUUACCAAGACUUUUCAUUUAUCAUUUUGGGUUCUUCAUGUGAGUUCAUGCUCUUAAUGAGGAGUGAGGUACAACUGGGCUUUCUCAGGAAUGGGCUGCCCUUCCUGCUGUUCAGUCACACUGUUCAGCCAACACAAAUACGAGCAGUAAGGCUCACUUCACUGUAGAUGUUAAAGUACCUCAUUAUUUUUGUGACCUUUAUGUUUUAUGUUUUUAAACCUUCUGAUCUUCAGCAUUCUGAAAUUUUCCAUACCUCGUCAGAAUACAACUAAACUGCAACACUUACUACUAAUAAUUUGCUUUGCCAAUGAAUGAACAAGCUCUGUUAUGACAGCUUUAAAAUGUUCAAUGUUGUGAAAAUUCAUUUCUGUAUCAAUCACAUGAAUGGAAAAAUGAUACAUUUGGAAUCCUGUCCCUUCAGAUGGGAGCAGUGAUACACAGAACAAAUGGACUAGUUUGGAAUUGUAUGUUGUGCAUAUAUAUAUGAGUUUAGGGGGCUUGUUUCACACUGGUAGAGUUCCUGAUACAAACAAUUGUUCUACUUUAAACUUGCUUCAAAAGCACUUUCACUGCAGUACCUUCUGCACUUAUAACCUGUUGGUACCUCUCUUCUGUGACCAUUGGCUUCAGUGAAAGUCACUGCUCUGUUACUCUGUUCAGCAGCUGUGGUUUCCCAGCACAGGCAUUAGAAUAUGGCUGUACCUGUUCUGCUCUGGUAUAAAAAAUUCAUUGUAAAUGUCUUGAAACCUGAAUUUGUAAAGGUCUAUUUUGGCUGUAUUUUUAAAAAUAAAUUGUAACUUCCUGUUAGAGAAAGCAAUAGUCAUCACCUGUCUGUUAGUGUUCUACACAGGUUGUCUUACAGCCUGAAGCAGUGUGUAUGAUUCCAAAGAGUCUGGAUAUUUCACUUUACUGUACAAUGAUGUGUUGUCAAUAGAUUUGUUCUCUGGGA